GAAAUGCGAUAAGUAAUGUGAAUUGCAGAAUUCAGUGAAUCAUCGAAUCUUUGAACGCACCUUGCGCUCCUUGGUAUUCCUUGGAGCAUGCCUGUUUGAGUAUCAUGAAAUCUUCAAAGUAAAUCUUUUGUUAACUCAAUUGGUUUCUACUUUGGUAUUGGAGGUCUUUGCAGCUUCACACCUGCUCCUCUUUGUUCAUUAGCUGGAUCUCAGUGUUAUGCUUGGUUCCACUCGGCGUGAUAAGUUAUCUAUCGCUGAGGACACUGUAAAAGGUGGCCAAGGUAAAUGCAGAUGAACCGCUUCUAAUAGUCCAUUGACUUGGACAAUACUUUGAUGAUCUGAUCUCAAAUCAGGUAGGACUACCCGCUGAACUUAAGC
rnacentral:misc_RNA from 1 species